rnacentral:rRNA from 1 species
AUUGAACGCUGGCGGCAGGCUUAACACAUGCAAGUCGAGCGGUAGCACAGGGGAGCUUGCUCCCUGGGUGACGAGCGGCGGACGGGUGAGUAAUGUCUGGGAAACUGCCUGAUGGAGGGGGAUAACUACUGGAAACGGUAGCUAAUACCGCAUAACGUCGCAAGACCAAAGAGGGGGACCUUCGGGCCUCUUGCCAUCAGAUGUGCCCAGAUGGGAUUAGCUAGUAGGUGGGGUAAUGGCUCACCUAGGCGACGAUCCCUAGCUGGUCUGAGAGGAUGACCAGCCACACUGGAACUGAGACACGGUCCAGACUCCUACGGGAGGCAGCAGUGGGGAAUAUUGCACAAGGGGCGCAAGCCUGAUGCAGCCAUGCCGCGUGUGUGAAGAAGGCCUUCGGGUUGUAAAGCACUUUCAGCGAGGAGGAAGGUGGUGAGCUUAAUACGUUCAUCAAUUGACGUUACUCGCAGAAGAAGCACCGGCUAACUCCGUGC